GCUAGGCUCAUGUAGCUUGGUGGUUGGUAUUUUGUUUUCUAAACUUGAUGUCCAGGGUUCGAAUCCUUUGAUACAUUGAAGAUUUUUGCACUGUGCAGUGACUGGAGUGGUCCAAGCGAGCGGGCUGCGGUGAUUGGAGUGGGCCAAGCGAGUUAGGCUGAAGAUUUUCGGACUUGUGACUAGAGUGGGCCGCAAGCGAGUAUGCGAGUGGCCUGCGAACAAGCGAAAAAAAACUACACAGGGCAGACAGAAUUACGGAGGUAGACUGAAAUUUUCACAAUUUAGUAGUAGGGAUAGAUAGGUUUUGAAAAUAGUUUUUUCAAAUGAAUCUGGUACCAUUCAGAUUUAUUUGUCCACUCAAACAUUUAAACUUGAGGAAAUCCAAAUCACACCUAAACACUUCGUUCUCUAGGUAGAGUGUAGUAGCAUGGA
rnacentral:lncRNA from 1 species